CUAACACAUGCAAGUCGAACGAGGGUAGCAAUACUCUAGUGGCGGACGGGUGAGGAAUACGUAGGAAUUUGCCCUUAAGUGGGGGAUAACCCGGGGAAACCCGGAUUAAUACCGCAUGAUCUUUUCGAAGCAAAGCCGGGGACCGCAAGGCCUGGCGCUUUUGGAGAAGCCUACGUCGGAUUAGCUAGUUGGUGAGGUAAUGGCUCACCAAGGCUGCGAUCCGUAACUGGUCUGAGAGGAUGAUCAGUCACAUCGGAACUGAGACACGGUCCGAACUCCUACGGGAGGCAGCAGUGGGGAAUAUUGGACAAUGGGCGAAAGCCUGAUCCAGCAAUACCGCGUGUGUGAAGAAGGCCUUCGGGUUGUAAAGCACUUUAGGUCGGAAAGAAAAAACUUGAGUUAAUACCUUAAGUCUUGACGGUACCGACAGAAUAAGCACCGGCUAACUCUGUGCCAGCAGCCGCGGUAAUACAGAGGGUGCAAGCGUUAAUCGGAUUUACUGGGCGUAAAGCGUGCGUAGGUGGCUGUUUAAGUCGGAUGUGAAAGCCCUGGGCUUAACCUGGGAACUGCAUUCGAUACUGGAUAGCUAGAGAUCGGUAGAGGGCAGCGGAAUUCCGGGUGUAGCGGUG
rnacentral:rRNA from 1 species